CUAAGUCGUAUCUUCCUCUGCCUCCCGAUUCCCCUGCCGUUUCAGUAUUUACCCUCCUCGCCACCGAGAGCCUCCUCCGGAUCCGUCGAGCGCGCGAGCUGGAAAGCUCGGCCAACCAGAAGGAAAUCGUGCGAUUCUAGAGUCCUAGAGCUGCACGUUAGGCUCAAUCCACCACCGCAAUCGCCCAUAAAAUCCCAAUCCUCUGGUGCCAAUCCAAUUCAAUCGCCACACGACCCGAUCUCUCCCCAAAUUCUUCCGUCCCAAUCUCUCCCAAAUUCUUCCGGCCUGAAAAAUCUCCGCUCCCAUGCCGGACGAGCUCGGUGUCACUUGAACCGCGUGGAGGCGGCCCGCAUCUUCGCCUUGGAGGCCGCACCCCCCGCCGGCGAGCUUGCCGUCGCCGGAACCUGGACUAUGGGGAGGUCGCCCCCAUCACCGGACGAGCUCGCCGUCAUAUGAACCGCGUGGACCCCGCGUCCCUGCCGGCGAUCUCUCUCACUCUCCGUAUUCCCACCGGGCUGCCUCCGCCCGCCCGUGCUGGACGGGAGACGGACUGUUCGCCGCUGGUAGACCACGUGCUAGACUUGAUCGGGUGCUGCCUGGAAUUUGGCUCAGGUUCUUUAUCCAGUGCAGCUCAGUGAUUAUCCAGAUCAACUUCUCUAGCGAUGGACUGGAACGACCAGUGCAUGUCACCUUCUUCAGCAAUCAGAUCGAGAUAUCUCAAAUUUGAGGACUCUUGGGCAUGGUGUAAGAUCCCAAAAAAAUGCCUUGACUGGCAUCGGCCAAUUGGUGCUAGACAGAAGACUUCCUUGCCGCCAUGUGUCUUUGCGAUUAAUAUGAUCAGUCAAUCUGCCAUCUUCUGCUGCAAAGGACUUUUUCAAUGGAGCUCCGGUUUAAGGUGUUGCGAGACAUCGCACAGACAGCCACAGGCGAACUCAAUGCUAUUGGCCGUUUGAUUCAUCUGGUGGUAUCUUUAAAAAUUGACAGGUUAAUCAUGUGCGAGAAUCGAUAAUAUGCCUGCUGACAACUACAUGCAAAGGGUAUAUUCAAGGUGUUCAAACCUGAAACGAUUCAGUCUUUUAUACUCCCUGAAGACUGGAGGUGAAGCUGCUACCGUGUAAAGAACUACUACUAUAUAUGUUCUUACCUUGGAUUUUUUAAUUGUGCAAUUAGCAUUACAUGAAGUUAAAAAGAGCAAUCUUGGGAGAGUAUCUCUGUGAUUAUAUCAAAUAAGUUAUUUUGGACCGUGGCAAUGCAAUCGGUUGCGAUUGAUCUUCAGGGACGUUUAAACUGCCCUGAAAGCUGUCAUGAAGCUGCCCCGGCUUCAGGGAGAAUUUGAUGAUGUAAAAUGUAGACCAUUCUGCUGUGGAUUUUAUCUAACUUUUACAAGGGCUACUUAUGUAUGGUCACAGUCCAAGAGGCGCUUAAGAAUCAAUUCUUCAUGGAGAAGAGUGAGAAGAUGGUGUGCCUUUAGUACAAAACGCCGACAGCUGUGUUUCUCGCUGAUGAGUGAAUUCGGGCAUGUGAUCGGGAAACUUGUGGCUAAGAUGUGAAAUCGAGAUUAAGGUUACAACUUUGACUAAUACUCCAAAACUUGAUAAUUUUGAGGAUAGCAUGAUUUUCAAACUGCACUAUAUAUUUGUUAGAGACAAACAUCUCAAAAUAUGUUAAACUGUAGUGUAUAUAUAUUUACAAAUCAUAGUUCUGAGAAACUUUGAAACUAUAGUACUUAGUUUGUUCAUCUGUUGACUUUGAAAACUUGCACGUUAUUUUUAGCUUGCAAGUUCUUUGAGUGGUGGAAAUAGAGGCCUGUGAACCGCCUUCGAAUAAAACCUAGAUGUAUGUGUUUUGACUCCAA